CACAGGGAGACCUCAGGGGAUGCUGAGACAUGGGGACACAGAUACACAUGGGGACACAGAUACAAAUGGGGACACUUGGGGACACUGAGACAUAGAGACAAUGAGACACUAGGGUACGCUGGAAGAUAUGGGGACAUAGACAGUUGGGGACACAGAAACACAUGGAGACACUUAGGGACACUGAGACAUGGGGAAACAGACACACAUGGG